CUUCUCUUGCAGCUCUCAUCCUGAGGGGAUUGCUAAGCAUUUAGCAGCUCUUAUAUUUCCAUUGGUAAUACUCACUGAACUGCCACAGCAGCUUAGUGUGCUCCCACACCUCCUGCAAUAAGUGCAUCCGAGGAGAUACAAGUGGUGGGAUGAGGUUAUUGAUGCUGGGCUUAGGGUGAGAUGGGAAAAUCAACGCCUGGGUGUGAAUGUUCUCAUGCAGGGUUUUGGGGUUUUUUGUGGUAAUCAGGAACAAAGAUCAUGGAUGAGUGCCAGACCCUGCUGUCCCUUACACUGAAAGCAACAAGAAAGGAGAACAUUGGAAAACUGGUCCCCAGAGCACAGCAGCUGUUGCACGCAUCCUAUUAAAGCAGGCCUGCAACUUUUUGUUCUAACAGCUGGACCAGGUCCUGAAAUCAUUAUCUCCCUGUGAUGUACCUGGAAACUUAAAGGAAGUGGCUUGGUCAAACUUGGACAGGAGUUUUUCGUUAGAGCCUGGAACUGAGUCACAAGCUAACAUCCCACACACUGAGAGGGGUGACUUCUCAGCCCAGAGCUGCCCAGCACUCUUGGAUCUGACUUGGAUACACUCAGGUGAAUCAGCUGAAAUGUCCAAGGAUUUCUGUUUGGACUUAGAUCCCCAGGCAUCUUUCUGCUCAGACAUGGAACAGUAUUGCACAUUCUGGACAGCACAGUCACCUUUCCCCCUAUGCUCAAAAAAGGGUCAGUAAGAUUAUUUGAUAGAUCAGCCUUAUAUUACAAUUAAUUUUUCAUCUAGAUUUUGACAAAAUCAACUUCAGAUAAUGUUUCUACAUGUGCAUAUGCACCUAUGAAAUAGAAUUAUAAAAUGGUUUGGGUUGGAAAAAGACCUUAAAGAUUUUGUGGUUCCAAACCCCUUUUUACAGGCAAGGACACUUGCCACUAGACCAGGGACCUCAAAACCCCAUCCAACCUGGCCUUGAACACUGCCAGGGAUGAGCUAUUCACCAUUAUCCCUGGGUAGCCUGUUCCUUUACCUCAUCACCACCACAGUAAAAAAUUUCUCCCUUACAUGUAAUUCAAACCCACCCUUUUCAAGUUUAAGGCCAUUCCCCGCCAUCCUAUCACUGCAUACUCUUGUAAGAAGUCCCUCUCCAGCUUUGCCCAUGAGUAA